rnacentral:misc_RNA from 1 species
GAUGAAGAACGUAGCGAAAUGCGAUAAGUAAUGUGAAUUGCAGAAUACAGUGAAUCAUCGAAUCUUUGAACGCACCUUGCGCUCCUUGGUAUUCUGAGGAGCAUGCCUGUUUGAGUGUCAUUUAAUUCUCAAACUUUACCUAGUUUGCAAAAACUAGAUCAGGUCUGGAGUCUGGAAGUUGCUGGCUUUUUUUUUAAGCUAGCUCUUCUAAAAUAUAUUAGCAGAAUUAUUGCUACUCAAUAUGGUAUGAUAAUUAUCUAUACCGUUGAAAGUAGGCUUUCUGAUUUUGCUUCUAAUUGUCUACCAAGACAACCUUGAUACCUUUGACCUCAAAUCAGGUAGGACUACCCGCUGAACUUAAGCAUAUCAAUAAGCGGAGGA